rnacentral:piRNA from 1 species
UACCAUUUCUGUACCUGGAGAGAGACGUA